rnacentral:rRNA from 1 species
AGUGAACGCUGGCGGUAGGCCUAACACAUGCAAGUCGAACGGCAGCACCGUAAGAGCUUGCUCUUACGGGUGGCGAGUGGCGGACGGGUGAGGAAUACAUCGGAAUCUACUUUUUCGUGGGGGAUAACGUAGGGAAACUUACGCUAAUACCGCAUACGACCUACGGGUGAAAGCAGGGGAUCUUCGGACCUUGCGCGAUUGAAUGAGCCGAUGUCGGAUUCGCUAGUUGGCGGGGUAAAGGCCCACCAAGGCGACGCUCCGUAGCUGGUCUGAGAGGAUGAUCAGCCACACUGGAACUGAGACACGGUCCAGACUCCUACGGGAGGCAGCAGUGGGGAAUAUUGGACAAUGGGCGCAAGCCUGAUCCAGCCAUACCGCGUGGGUGAAGAAGGCCUUCGGGUUGUAAAGCCCUUUUGUUGGGAAAGAAAAGCAGCAGGUUAAUACCCCGCUGUUCUGACGGUACCCAAAGAAUAAGCACCGGCUAACUUCGUG